GACAGAGGGUGCAAACGUUGUUCGGAAUUACUGGGCGUAAAGGGCUCGUAGGCGGUCCGUCACGUCGGGAGUGAAAUCCUGGGGCUUAACCCCAGAACUGCUUCCGAUACGGGCAGACUAGAGGUAGGUAGGGGAGAAUGGAAUUCCUGGUGUAGCGGUGGAAUGCGCAGAUAUCAGGAGGAACACCAGUGGCGAAGGCGGUUCUCUGGGCCUUACCUGACGCUGAGGAGCGAAAGCGUGGGGAGCAAACAGG
rnacentral:rRNA from 1 species